GUUUUUGUAGUUGAAUAACAACAGUGGUUUUUCAGGCCACAGGUUUUGGUUGAAGCCAGACGGAAAUU
rnacentral:tRNA from 2 species